rnacentral:rRNA from 1 species
UGGGGAAUUUUGCGCAAUGGGCGAAAGCCUGACGCAGCAACGCCGCGUGAGUGAUGAAGGCCUUCGGGUCGUAAAGCUCUGUCAGAAGGGAAGAAAUGGAAGGGUGUUAAUUCCAUCUUUUCUUGACGGUACCUUCAAAGGAAGCACCGGCUAACUCCGUCCCAGCAGCCGCGGUAAUACGGAGGGUGCAAGCGUUGUUUGGAAUUAUUGGGCGUAAAGCGCGUGUAGGCGGUCUCUUAAGUCUGAUGCGAAAGCCCCGGGCUCAACCUGGGAAGUGCAUUGGAAACUCGGAGACUUGAAUACGGGAGAGGGCAGUGGAAUUCCUAGCGUAGGAGUGAAAUCCGUAGAUAUUAGGAGGAACACCGGUGGCGAAGGCGGCUGCCUGGUCCGAUAUUGACGAUGAGACGGGAAAGCGUGGGGAGCAAACAGGAUUAGAUACCGUGGUAGUCCACCCCGUAAUUGAUGAGUCCUAGCUGUUGCGGGUAUUGACCCGUGCAGUGCCGUACCUAGCGCAUUAAGUACUCCGCCUGGGAAGUACGGUCCCAAGACUA